AACGCACAUUGCGCCUCUCUUUACAGGGAGGCAUGCCUGUCUGAGCGUCAUUUAAACCAAUGGGUAUGACUUAUUAGUUCGUGCUCGUAUUGGGUCUCGCCUUUCGGCGUUACCUUGAAACAAUUGGUCUAGAUUAGCGGACGAGAUCCUUUAGGACUAACCGCAAAUUCAGACACAACAUAAUUUCUGAUUUUGACCUCAGAUCAGGUAGGGACACCGCCUGAACUUAA
rnacentral:misc_RNA from 1 species